rnacentral:tRNA from 1 species
AAUCCGUCGACUUUASAAAUCSUGAGGGUUCAAGUCCCUCUAUCCCCAA